GAUGAACGCUAGCGGCAGGCUUAAUACAUGCAAGUCGAGGGACAGCACAGGUAGCAAUACUGGGUGGUAACCGGCAAACGGGUGCGGAACACGUACACAACCUUCCUUUAAGUGGGGGAUAGCCCAGAGAAAUUUGGAUUAAUACCCCGUAAUAUAGUUGAAUGGCAUCAUUUGAUUAUUAUAGCUACGGCGCUUAAUGAUGGGUGUGCGGCUGAUUAGAUAGUUGGCAGGGUAACGGCCCACCAAGUCUACGAUCAGUAGCUGCUGUGAGAGCAUGAUCAGCCACACGGGCACUGAGACACGGGCCCGACUCCUACGGGAGGCAGCAGUAAGGAAUAUUGGUCAAUGGACGCAAGUCUGAACCAGCCAUGCCGCGUGAAGGAUUAAGGUCCUCUGGAUUGUAAACUUCUUUUAUUUGGGACGAAAAAGGGCCUUUCUAGGUCAACUGACGGUACCAGAUGAAUAAGCACCGGCUAACUCCGUGCCAGCCGCCGCGGUAACAC
rnacentral:rRNA from 1 species